rnacentral:rRNA from 1 species
UGCCAGCCGCCGCGGUAAGACAGAGGGUGCAAACGUUGUUCGGAAUUACUGGGCGUAAAGCGCGUGUAGGCUGCUUAACAAGUCGGGCGUGAAAUCCCGGGGCUCAACCUCGGACGUGCGUUCGAAACUGUUAAGCUAGAAUCUCGGAGAGGGUAGCGGAAUUCUGGGUGUAGAGGUGAAAUUCGUAGAUAUCCAGAGGAACACCGGUGGCGAAGGCGGCUACCUGGACGAGUAUUGACGCUGAGACGCGAAAGUGUGGGGAGCAAACAGGAUUAGAUA